CCAAGGAGUCUAACAUGUGCGCGAGUCACUCGGUCUUGAAUAGGCCAGAGAGGCGCAAUGAAAGUAAAGUUGAUUGAGUUACGAUCCUCAUGCGGUUAUCCUUGUGGUAACGGUGGGGCGCAGUAACAGCCCGCCAAUUUCGCUUAUUGACGAUCUGGCGGAGUUGUAGCGUACACGUUGGUACCCGAAAGAUGGUGAACUAUGCCUGGGCAAGACGAAGCCAGAGGAAACUCUGGUGGAGGUCUGUAGCGAUUCUGACGUGCAAAUCGAUCGUCAGACCUGGGUAUAGGGGCGAAAGACUAAUCGAACCAUC
rnacentral:rRNA from 2 species